GCACACAGUUUAAUUGUACAAUAAUCCCUCGCUAUAUAGUUGUUCACUUGCUGUAUUCCCAAUUCAGUGCAUUGUAGGAUUUUUUUAGGACAGUAUAACCACAUUAUCACAACCAUAAGGUGCACUUAAAAGUCUUAAUUUUACUCCAAAAUGGAUGUUGCACCGUAUAAUGCAGCACACUUAGUGUGUCCACCGAGUUCCAAAAUCUGCAAAUGUUGUUUGACCAUGAUGAGCGCUACACCUAACUGACUGUGAGCAUUCCCUGCAAACAUGCUGCUUAGGAAAGACGGACGUGACUGUGGACAGCAUAUGGACGUUAAAGGGGAAUGCUAACGUGGACAUGGAAAAGGGACGCUACAGCAUGGUUUGCGGUGCUGCCAGCAUGCUUUGCGGCACUAAGGACCUCCUUAGAUUAUCAGUCAUGACUUGCCCACAACACUGAUUGAAAAAAAUAAAAGACCGGAUGGUUCAUUGGCCACCAAAACUGAAGUUGCCAUCCACCAUCUUGAUACAUCUUGCAGCAACAGCAAUUAACUUUGUUAAUCGCCAGUUUCGUGGCUGUGAGAAAACAUUCAACAGAUUGGUGAACCUGACAUUUACUUGGUCCUUCGAGCCGGAUCUCAAGAUACCUGAGGUUUCCAGGGGCUGAGUCGACGUCCAGGCAAAGACCAUGGCCACGGCAGUUGAGACCCUUUCCGGGACUGGGCCUCGACUUUGCAUCUGGAGGCUGAGGGUUGACGAGAAGCCGAAGGAAGUGAAGACAUCUCUGGUCACCAUCGACUGCUGGAGAAAAAUACCUUGUGUGUUUUUCCACACUUGGCCAUUAAAGCUGAUUCUGGUGGACUCUGCACCCCUAACAUGUCCGGAGAAGAAAGAAGUAUUUGAGAAAGUCGCACUAUCCAGGCGAACAGUGACAAGAAGGGUGGAGGACAUCGAGGAGAAAUCUCCAACUUCAGCUCAAAAGUGGAGUGGGAAGUUUUGACUUUUUUUCCCUCGCUUUGGAUGAGAGUUGUGACAUCCAAUGUGGGACUUUUGAAACGGAUGCAAGAUAAAGCGACUCAACUUCACACAGAGCACAAUUGGUAUUUAUUCAUUGUAUUAUUCAUCAAUAUGCAUUGUGCAAGUUAGUGUUAAAACUUAAUGGAGUGACAAAGACAGUUAACUUUAUCAGGGCACAAGCAUUGAAUCACAGGCAGUUUGUUGUACUUUUAGAAGAGCAGGAUAACAAAAAUGCUGACAUCAGGUACUAUACAGCUGUCAGAUGGCUCAGCCUGGGCAAAAAGAUUUCGGGACCUAAAAGCAGAGAUUGAGGAGUUUUGUGGAAUUAAAGGCAAAAAGGAUACCCGAGCUCCCAGAUGUAUUGCAGAUAUAACAUUUGCCGUUGAUGUGACAGCACUGAUAAAUAAACUGAACAAUAAACUGCAAGGCAAGGGCCUUUUUGUUCAUGAAAUGUAUAACCUGGUCUAGGCUUUCAUGACAAAGCUGCAGUUUCUUUCAAAUCAAUUAGAGAUACAAAAUUCUCACUCAUGUGCAAACCCUGAAAGAAGUCGAACUAUCAGCUCCUCACCUCUGCCGGUACUCGUCUGUUAGGAGACCUGCACAGUGAGUUUUCAAGCCGAUUUGAAAAUUUUAAAAACAUUGAGGAUGAGGGUUUGGGUUAGGGUUAGGGUUUCACUCAUUUCUAUAUCUACUAAACUGUAUUUACUUUAAACCCAACAUUGAUAUGAAAAAAAGUAACUCUUAACUUUGGGUCUUGAUCGGAAUAACUGCAUUAUAAUAAUGCAAUAUUAUUCCAUUAAUUUCAAUAGGAAACAUGAACUCUUAAAACGUUUCAGGUAACAAACAAGAUCACAGAUCUAAUUAAGUUUGGAAUUCGAGGCUAAGAGUAUUAACAUGUGAAAACCAGUACAAAACAAGCACAAAAAGUUCUGGAAAAAGAUCACAAUUUGUUUCUUCCACUGAACCAGCAUCCUUUAUAUAUAAUAAUAAUCUGGGCUCCAGCACUCCGGCGACCCUUGUGAAGAUAAGCGGCUAAGAAAAUAGUUGGAUGGAUGAUAAUAAUCAGUUGUUAAAAUCCAUCAUCCAUCCAUCCA